AUUGAACGCUGGCGGCAGGCCUAACACAUGCAAGUCGAGCGGAUGAAGGGAGCUUGCUCCUGGAUUCAGCGGCGGACGGGUGAGUAAUGCCUAGGAAUCUGCCUGGUAGUGGGGGAUAACGUCCGGAAACGGGCGCUAAUACCGCAUACGUCCUGAGGGAGAAAGUGGGGGAUCUUCGGACCUCACGCUAUCAGAUGAGCCUAGGUCGGAUUAGCUAGUUGGUGGGGUAAAGGCCUACCAAGGCGACGAUCCGUAACUGGUCUGAGAGGAUGAUCAGUCACACUGGAACUGAGACACGGUCCAGACUCCUACGGGAGGCAGCAGUGGGGAAUAUUGGACAAUGGGGGAAAGCCUGAUACAGCCAUGCCGCGUGUGUGAAGAAGGUCUUCGGAUUGUAAAGCACUUUAAGUUGGGAGGAAGGGCAGUAAGUUAAUACCUUGCUGUUUUGACGUUACCAACAGAAUAAGCACCGGCUAACUUCGUG
rnacentral:rRNA from 1 species